CCUCAAACAGGGAGAGAAACAUAAAGGACCACUCUAAUUAUUAUUAUUUUAUUAUUUAUAUAGCGCCAGCAAAAUUCUGUAGCACUGUUUGGGAAAAAAUAAUGGCAGUUCAGCCUUUGAAGCUCUCCCAGGCCCCAGGUAGAAAUUAGCCAACUCCCACUAUCGGCAGGACACAGCCAAACCAGAAGCAGGGAUGCCAUCGAUAUCUUGGACAGGUGCUACACAGCAAGACCAUCACCAAAGCCUUUCUGGCCAGCCUGGAAUUAGAAUGGUAUGUUAGGACUCGGUAUGUCCUUGCAGGAGUGAUGAGUCAGUUGAGGCUUGUCGUGAAUCUUCAGCACCCUUAUGACAGUUCAGAGUACUUUUAGGUGGAAAGGUUUGACAGUGGCAUCAGCAAGUGGCUUCCUUGAGUUGGAAACAGCGGUGUCAGGUAGAAGUGCCCAUCUCAGCGGCCAUAAUAGAGGUAUGUGGGUUUGGGUUUGUAAGUCUGCACUAUGUACACUAUAAUAGCCAUUUUUAGGGCUCUAGGGUGGACAGGGAAGAGCCCCAGUGGUACAAAGGGAGGGAGGGGGCGAGCACCAUACACUGCCAAGGAGUAGGCUUACUACUGUUGGGCAAGUGAGCAGGGCGGCGGCCGUCCACCACACUCACCACUUGAGUAGGCCACAACCAUGGGAAUCCAAG